UCGAGAAUCAUUCACAAUGGGGGCAACCCUGAUGGUGCAACGCCGCGUGGAGGAUGAAGGUCUUCGGAUUGUAAACUCCUGUCAUCUAGGAGCAAGGCAUGGAUGUGAAUAGCAUACAUGAUUGAUAGUACUAGAAGAGGAAGGGACGGCUAACUUCGUGCCAGCAGCCGCGGUAAUACGAAGGUCCCGAGCGUUAUUCGGAAUCACUGGGCGUAAAGGGAGCGUAGGCGGCGUGGAAAGUCAGAUGUGAAAUCCCGGGGCUCAACCCCGGAACUGCAUCCGAUACUACCAUGCUAGAGAUUUGGAGGGGUAACUGGAAUUCUCGGUGUAGCAGUGAAAUGCGUGGAUAUCGAGAGGAACACCUGUGGCGAAAGCGAGUUACUGGACAACAUCUGACGCU
rnacentral:rRNA from 1 species